UGUAAUUUAUGCAAUGUUAUAGAAUUAUGAGUAGAAGCGUUCUUCAUGAUCAAGUAAAAUGUUUUAUGUUAAAUUCAGUCCAGACGUUACGUGAAGUCUGGUCCAUUCUUCAUCUAGUUUAACAUCAAGCUAAACUCAAGUGAACAUUUGUUUAGUUAGCGUAUCUAGGUACCAUUUUUUAGGCCACGGUUGUCAAACUCAAGGCCUUGGUCUAUUUUUAUUUGCCCCGCGAAAUCAAAUAUCAAAUAUAUAAUAUUAAACUGGCCCGCCGGGCGAUUUUGCUAAUAAGACUACUAAUCCCACAGUGCUUUGCGGCGUUAGCGCGCGAGACGAAGCAAGCCCUCUUUCAUGUUUACAUCAUUAGCAUCCAUGCUAGUCGAAUCAGCGUGUGCAGCGUUACCCUCAGUCUUAAACAAUUGAAGAUACUCCUCUAAGCACCCAGUUUACUCAGCGAGUUUCCGACUUUGAACGCCUAGAAAGAAGGUAUCUGGCUGGAACAGGUGACCAUCAGAGUGGAGCGAACUGAGCUUGAAAUAUUUGUCAUGCACUUUUUCUGCUCCAAAGCAUGAACGUUAAUAACUGAGAUAUUUUCAUAGAAGAUAAUUGCUAUUUUUGGUUUUCACAGAUCUUAACUUAUUUAAUUAUCUAACAUGUUAUUGUAUGGCUGUUGUACCUUUCAUUUGGUAAUUGAUUGUUUUGACCCCUAUAAAAAUGUGUCAUAUGAGAGUGUUUGUGCUUGAAUUACAUAGAUCAUGUACCUGAAGGUAGCUGACAACAACCGGGCAGACACCCACCUUGCCUUCUUCAGUGAAGCUGUGAAUGAGCAUGGCUUUCCUCUGAGGUAUUCAUGUUAUUCCCAACUUUACCCUCUGUUACCCUGUUACAAAUCUGCUUUUGCCUAAAGUGUGUUAUUGACCAAAGAUAACAUGCCAUUUGAGGUCAUAUAGUAAAAUCUAUGGGGGGGGGGGGGGGGGGGGGGGGGGACAUUUCCCUCUUUCAAAAAAUAUUUCCCCAGCAGAGGGUUAAUAAUGCCACAUUGUUUACUCACUUAGUAGCAAGGUACAUAAGGAAAUUUCUGUGAGACUCAAAUUGAUGUAGAUUGUUAUAGAUGUGCAUUAAAAAUGUUUGAAGCAAGAUUCUAAUGUUUUUUUUUUUCAUGGUGAGAGGAGAUCAUGGCGGAGAAAAUGUAGGUGUUGCAUAAUUAAUGUUCUCAGUUCGUGGAACUGACACCAACAGCUUCAUUGCAGGAAAAAGUGUACACAAUCAACGGUGAGUUUAACCUAAUUUGGAAGCUUUGUGUCUGUGCGCGCGUGCCUGUGCCUGUUGACCUGCCCAGGGUGCACCCUUCGUCUCACACUGUGACUGCUAGAGAUAGGCACCAGUCCUCCUGCGACCAUUCAAAAGAUAACUCAAGUUGAAAACGGAUGUAUGGACAUGUAAAUGUGUGUGUAUAUUAUAAUUUUCUUUUAUUUAAUCCCCCUCCAAAUCCAGGAUCGAGCGCCUGUGGCGUGAUGUCUUCAUGAGUGUUACUGGUCUAUAUUACAACAUCCUGCACUCUCUGGAAGACCAAGACUUGCUCGACAUCAGUAACAUCCUUCACAUGUUUUGUUGCCACUAUAUUUUCUUGUCUCGCAUCCAGGCCAGCCUGGAUGUCUUUAGAGAUGCGUGGGACAACCAUCCAAUCAGGAAGAGGAAAACAUGACACCAAAUCAGCUGUGGCAUCUGGGCCAGGCUCUGAAUCCUGUUUCUGAUCCAGGGGCAAAUGGUAUACCGACACCAGAGAUUGAAUGGGAGGAGAAUGGAUACAUGACUGAACCUCAUCCUGGGAUCAAUGUCCCUGUACUGGACAGUCCUCUUACAGAUCAUGAAAUGUUGGAACUGCAGGACAACAUUAAUCCGUUGAAACAUUCAGACUCUUUUGGGAGUGGACAUAUAUCUUCACACUGUCCAGUAUGUUGAGAACUUACUUGAGGCUAGAUGAUUACAUGUGUGAAGAAGGAAGGAGAGAGAAGGUAGGGAGUUAGGAAGAAAGAAAAUAAUUAAAGAGACAGGAAGGAAGGAAGUUAAAAAGUGAAGGAGUGGUCCAUUUUAAGGUUAAUGUACUGUAUAUUGUUAUUCAAGGGAUUUGCCGUUGUAAAUAUGAAAUGCUAAAGGAUAGACCCCAAAAUAGAUUUCUAAAUUCUUUUAUAGUUGUGUAUUUCCUUAAAGUCUUUGUCAGCCUGAUUUAUUUUAGACCAGGAAUGUAUUUGAAAAGGCUGCUGUUCACUUCAUCUAUGCUACAAUUCUUCAAAAUGUAAAUGUGCUAUCAUUGCUAGUGUUGGUUUAGUAACAUGCAUCUUCCUGUGUAUCCAGCUCUAAUAAAAACAUUUAAAGGUGAA